rnacentral:rRNA from 2 species
GCGGAUGAUGCAUAGCCGAGUUGAGAGACUGAUCGGCCACAAUGGGACUGAGACACGGCCCAUACUCCUACGGGAGGCAGCAGUAGGGAAUCUUCCACAAUGGGCGCAAGCCUGAUGGAGCAACACCGCGUGAGUGAAGAAGGGUUUCGGCUCGUAAAGCUCUGUUGUUAAAGAAGAACACGUAUGAGAGUAACUGUUCAUACGUUGACGGUAUUUAACCAGAAAGUCACGGCUAACUACGUGCCAGCAGCCGCGGUAAUACGUAGGUGGCAAGCGUUAUCCGGAUUUAUUGGGCGUAAAGAGAGUGCAGGCGGUUUUCUAAGUCUGAUGUGAAAGCCUUCGGCUUAACCGGAGAAGUGCAUCGGAAACUGGAUAACUUGAGUGCAGAAGAGGGUAGUGGAACUCCAUGUGUAGCGGUGGAAUGCGUAGAUAUAUGGAAGAACACCAGUGGCGAAGGCGGCUACCUGGUCUGCAACUGACGCUGAGACUCGAAAGCAUGGGUAGCGAACAGGAUUAGAUACCCUGGUAGUCCAUGCCGUAAACGAUGAGUGCUAGGUGUUGGAGGGUUUCCGCCCUUCAGUGCCGGAGCUAACGCAUUAAGCACUCCGCCUGGGGAGUACGACCGCAAGGUUGAAACUCAAAGGAAUUGACGGGGGCCCGCACAAGCGGUGGAGCAUGUGGUUUAAUUCGAAGCUACGCGAAGAACCUUACCAGGUCUUGACAUCUUGCGCCAACCCUAGAGAUAGGGCGUUUCCUUCGGGAACGCAAUGACAGGUGGUGCAUGGUCGUCGU